CUUGGUAAUAGAGAAGGGGUCCUCACUUGCCCAGUCUUUGGAAUCCACCUUCUGUUGAUCUUCUGGGGAAC
ensembl:misc_RNA